GCAAACUUGGUCAUUUAGAGGAAGUAAAAGUCGUAACAAGGUCUCCGUUGGUGAACCAGCGGAGGGAUCAUUAAAGAGUUCUAUAACUCCCAAACCCAUGUGAACAUACCUAACGUUGCCUCGGCAGGUCGCGCCUACCUCGUAGUCCUACCCUGUAGGACUUACCCGGGAGGUGCGGAUAAGCCUGCCGGCGGCCCACCAAACUCUGUUUGAUAUUGAAUUCUGAACCUAUAACUAAAUAAGUUAAAACUUUCAACAACGGAUCUCUUGGUUCUGGCAUCGAUGAAGAACGCAGC
rnacentral:misc_RNA from 1 species